rnacentral:rRNA from 1 species
UGACGGUAGUCGUAUGCUCGUCUCCGAGACUAAGCCAUGCAAGUCCAAGUACACGUCCUUGAACGACGGAAACUGCGAACGGCUCAUUAAAUCAGUUGCGAUCUACUCGGCGUUCCGCGCCGCCGGAUAACCGUAGUAAUUCUAGGGCUAAUACGUGCGAAGCGCCCGAAGCCGCGAGGCGACGGGCGUUCUCGCCGGAUGUAGGAACCGACCCGGGGACCGCCGGGGCAACCCGGCGCCCCCCGAGACGGGGCGAACCACGGUGAAAUGACGGAUCGUCGGCCCCGCGCCGGCGACUCGCCGAAUGAGUUUCUGACCUAUCAACUCGAGACGGCGGGGUAGAGGCCCGCCGCGGUAACGACGGGUAACGGGGAAUCAGGGUUCGAUUCCGGAGAGGGAGCCCGAGAAACGGCUACCACUUCCAAGGAAGGCU